rnacentral:tRNA from 1 species
GAGGGUAUAGUUUAAUGGUAAAACAAUGGUCUCCAAAACCAUAGAUAGAGGUUCAACUCCUUUUACCUUUGCCA